GUUUCCUAAGGGAAGUAAUGUCCCGCGCAGAGUGCGCAGUAGUACUCGGACUCCCCCAUUUUCUCUCAAGCUCUCUCACUCUACUCUCUCACUCUCUCCGGCAGUACUGCGGCUUCUCUCCACCACGAGCACCGCCGGCCAACCCACGACCACGCCGACCAAGAUCUCUACGAUCUAAGAAAAGUGCAACUGAGUGUGGGGGAUCACUUUCAGAGAAUUUUUAAUGACCACGAAAAGAUUAAGCUUGAGAUGCGUGGGAUGGAAUUGGAAAAGCGUGAUGCGCAGAGUGAAUGUGAAAGAAGAAUGCUCGCUGAAGAGAUUGAAAAGAAAUAAUGGAAGAAGGAAGAAAAAGCCAGAAAAGAAGAAGAAGAAGAAAACAAGAGGGGAUCGCUGGCGCUCGGGACGGCCGGAGAGAUCUGCUAGGGCCGGGUUCGAUUGGGCUACGACAGGGAAGCUCAGGUUUCGGCCUCUCCUCCCACGGGACGCUUGGGUUUCGGUCGGACGCGUAGUUUCCGGCCUAUCCUCCCACGGCCGGUGUGUGUGGUUUUAUUUUUUAUUUUUAUUUUUUCUGCUUUUUUCUUCGCCCGUGCCUUCUUUUCUUAAAAAAAGAAAAAAAGAAAAAGAAAAUGUGAUGUAGAUGUUGCCACAUCAGUGUAUAAAAAGUGGGUGUAAGUGUAGCAACCCUUAUAUUCUAAAUAUGCCUUGGACAAAGUGAUUUAUUGCCCGCCCUCUUCAUAUUACUGUUUUCAAAUAAAGCCAUGACUUUGUUAAAUAACACUUUUUUCAUUUUUUUUUUAAAAAAAUAAUACCAAACAACCCAACACAAAAUAUUCAAAAACUAAUUUCAUCUUUGUGCCACAUUAAAAUAAUUUUCAAAAAUAAAAAAUACCUUCCAAAAAUUAUUAACAAAUCGAACCCUUUUUGUUCU